UACGUAGGCAGCAAGCGUUGUUCGGAAUUACUGGGCGUAAAGCGUGCGCAGGCGGUUUUGUAAGUCUGUCGUGAAAGCCCCGGGCUCAACCUGGGAAUUGCGAUGGAGACUGCAAGGCUUGAAUCUGGCAGAGGGGGGUAGAAUUCCACGUGUAGCAGUGAAAUGCGUAGAGAUGUGGAGGAACACCGAUGGCGAAGGCAGCCCCCUGGGUCAAGAUUGACGCUCAUGCACGAAAGCGUGGGGAGCAAACAGG
rnacentral:rRNA from 1 species